rnacentral:rRNA from 1 species
UUUAAAUUUAGAGUUUGAUCCUGGCUCAGGACGAACGCUGGCGGCGUGCUUAACACAUGCAAGUCGAGCGAUGAAGCUUCCUUCGGGAAGUGAAUUAGCGGCGGACGGGUGAGUAACACGUGGGUAACCUGCCUCAAAGUGGGGGAUAGCCUUCCGAAAGGAAGAUUAAUACCGCAUAAUAUGAGAGAAUCGCAUGAUUUUCUUAUCAAAGAUUUAUUGCUUUGAGAUGGACCCGCGGCGCAUUAGCUAGUUGGUAAGGUAACGGCUUACCAAGGCAACGAUGCGUAGCCGACCUGAGAGGGUGAUCGGCCACAUUGGAACUGAGACACGGUCCAGACUCCUACGGGAGGCAGCAGUGGGGAAUAUUGCGCAAUGGGGGAAACCCUGACGCAGCAACGCCGCGUGGGUGAUGAAGGUCUUCGGAUUGUAAAGCUCUGUUUUCUAGGACGAUAAUGACGGUACUAGAGGAGGAAGCCACGGCUAACUACGUGCCAGCAGCCGCGGUAAUACGUAGGUGGCGAGCGUUGUCCGGAUUUACUGGGCGUAAAGGGUGCGUAGGCGGAUGUUUAAGUGGGAUGUGAAAUCCCCGGGCUUAACCUGGGGGCUGCAUUCCAAACUGGAUAUCUAGAGUGCAGGAGAGGAAAGCGGAAUUCCUAGUGUAGCGGUGAAAUGCGUAGAGAUUAGGAAGAACACCAGUGGCGAAGGCGGCUUUCUGGACUGUAACUGACGCUGAGGCACGAAAGCGUGGGUAGCAAACAGGAUUAGAUACCCUGGUAGUCCACGCCGUAAACGAUGGAUACUAGGUGUAGGGGGUAUCAACUCCCCCUGUGCCGCAGUUAACACAAUAAGUAUCCCGCCUGGGGAGUACGGUCGCAAGAUUAAAACUCAAAGGAAUUGACGGGGGCCCGCACAAGCAGCGGAGCAUGUGGUUUAAUUCGAAGCAACGCGAAGAACCUUACCUGGACUUGACAUCCCUUGCAUAGCCUAGAGAUAGGUGAAGCCCUUCGGGGCAAGGAGACAGGUGGUGCAUGGUUGUCGUCAGCUCGUGUCGUGAGAUGUUAGGUUAAGUCCUGCAACGAGCGCAACCCUUGUUAUUAGUUGCUACCAUUAAGUUGAGCACUCUAAUGAGACUGCCUGGGUAACCAGGAGGAAGGUGGGGAUGACGUCAAAUCAUCAUGCCCCUUAUGUCCAGGGCUACACACGUGCUACAAUGGUAGGUACAAUAAGACGCAAGACCGUGAGGUGGAGCAAAACUUAUAAAACCUAUCUCAGUUCGGAUUGUAGGCUGCAACUCGCCUACAUGAAGCUGGAGUUGCUAGUAAUCGCGAAUCAGAAUGUCGCGGUGAAUACGUUCCCGGGCCUUGUACACACCGCCCGUCACACCAUGAGAGCUGGUAACACCCGAAGUCCGUGAGGUAACCGUAAGGAACCAGCGGCCGAAGGUGGGAUUAGUGAUUGGGGUGAAGUCGUAACAAGGUAGCCGUAGGAGAACCUGCGGCUGGAUCACCUCCUUUCUA